CAUGCUGUCAGACUGUCUGUCUGUCUGCAGCCGUCGAUGAAUGUGAGGGUUAGGCGUCGAUGGGUGCUCGUCAACUUCCUGAGGACCUGAUAACUUCAAACUGAAGUUUGUUGUCUCGUCUGAGGAGCUCCAGCUGCAGAGAUGAUCAUCAGACUGGGACGACUGACACCCGGAUACUUCCGCCUCCUCCAGAGGCAGGUCUCAGGUGAGGUCCGGAUGCAGCCACAGAGCAGCCUCAUCGACCCCAUCGCCAUGACCAUGGCCACAGUGGGGAUGGGAGUGUCUCUGUACAGCGCCAGGCAGAUGGCUGAGAGGGUCCAACUG